GCAUCGAUAGCUCAGUGGCAGAGCGGUGGGCCGCGUUUACCCAUGCGGCCCGGGUUCGAUUCCCGGUCGAUGUA